ensembl:lncRNA
GGCGAGAAGGGAACUGGCAGGGAGAGAGAGAGGGCAGAAGUUGGAUGGCGCUAUCCUUUGUCGCCGUAUUUCGGCACACAAACAGCUGCCGAGCGUCUCCGUGAUCCGUGAAAUUACACCUUUGCCGCUGUUUCACGCCGUGGUGGCUCCUCGGUGUCAUCCGACAAACGGUGCGUAUUCAGGGCUAAACUAGCCAGUCUGCUAGCACUUUCCAACGUUACGGAGAGGCUGCUGCUCCAGCUGUACUUUAACAUUAAUGCACGCACAGAAGCAUUAUAAGUUUACUAACAAGCCGGGCUGACGGGGGUUGUGAUUUUGGCGUCGAUUAACCAGCAUCGCCGCCUUGGCACUGCACAGAUUAACCGGGCAGGUAUAGUCUUUAAUUAAGUUGUAAUAGAGGCGGAAUGACCGUGAUGCUAUUCACGGAGCCCUGUCUCAUUUCACUGCCGUAAUCAUUUAGGUUUAUUUUUUAGCAGCAGGUUAGCCAGUAAAGUUAACCAACAGCUGCUAUGGGGGAGAGUUGAUCACACGAUCGAAAACUUUUGCGAUCAUAGCAGGAAAGCUGUGUUACAACUGAUCACGAACUGUGUGUGAAACCGUCAUCAGAUCUGCAGCCCCGCGGACAGGAUGAUGGAAGAAUCGGUGACCACAUUUGAGACGCAUCUGACCGCCGUCAUGGACAGCCUGAUCCGUGCCUCGGUGUGCGAGAUCACCAAACUCUUCCAGGAGACAGUGAACGACUACCUGGUGGAGCUGUCCCUCAACAGGAAGGAGAACGAGGCUCUCAAACUGCGGCUGAGGCUCACAGAGAGCAAACUGAGAACCGAGCGCAAGUACGGCAUGGGCUGGGCUGCCAACCGCCGCAACGCCGGGCUGGUGGCGGCAGCAGCACCGGUGGAGGAAGCUGGAGGCCGGCAGAAGCGAAAACUUGACGUGACUCGAGGCAAGUCAAAAAAAGGCCCAGCAGCAGCCUAUGGCAAAGCGUGGCCUGGAGGUGUGUGGGAGGAAGGAGGAGGAGGAGGUGGUGGCGGUGC